CCACCUUGGCACUCUCGUUUACUUCAUUCUCUAUAUAUACCCCCCUUGCGUAUCUUAUCAAACCAGAAUCAAGAACUCGCAAAAGCAACUUCAUUACUUUGUAAUUUUGAUUCCGAAGUGAAUAUCUUUUCAGUUGAAGAUUAUGGAAACUACCUGCGCAGGUUUUUAGGCUAAUUUCAGUUGAAUAUCAUUUAUAAUUCUUAUUUUAAUAUAUUUAUGAUUAAUUUUUCUGUUAUGAAAUUUUUAGGUAAUAACAAUUGGUCGGAGAUUAUCAUCCUACUACUAUUUCCUCUUCUCAGUACUACUGAUGAUGACAAUGUGAAUGACAAUCUUGAUCUUCUUGCUGUCCCUCAAUAUGGGAGAAACCCUAACUACACUGGUUAAUUACA
rnacentral:lncRNA from 1 species